rnacentral:tRNA from 1 species
GCCCAGGUGACCGAGCGGUGAGGUGAUCGCCUGCAGAGCGAUUUCACGGGGGUUCAAAUCCCUCCCUGGGCUCCA